rnacentral:rRNA from 1 species
CCUACGGGAGGCAGCAGUGGGGAAUAUUGCACAAUGGGGGAAACUCUGAUGCAGCGACGCCGCGUGAGUGAAGAAGUAAUUCGUUAUGUAAAGCUCUAUCAGCAGGGAAGAAAAUGACGGUACCUGAGUAAGAAGCCCCGGCUAACUACGUGCCAGCAGCCGCGGUAAUACGUAGGGGGCAAGCGUUAUCCGGAUGUACUGGGUGUAAAGGGAGCGUAGACGGCAGUGCAGGUCUGGAGUGAAAGGCGGGGGCGCAACCCCCGGACUGCUGUGGAAACUGUACGGCUGGAGUGCAGGAGAGGGAAGUGGAAUUCCUAGUGUAGCGGUGAGAUGCGUAGAUAUUAGGGGGAACACCAGUGGCGAAGGCGGCUUACUGGACUGUAACAGACGUUGAGGCUCGAAAGCGUGGGGAGCAAACAGGAUUAGAUACCCGUGUAGUC